GACGAACGCUGGCGGCGUGCUUAACACAUGCAAGUCGAACGGUAAGGCCCUUUCGGGGGUACACGAGUGGCGAACGGGGGAGUAACACGUGGGUGAUCUGCCCUGCACUUUGGGAUAAGCCUGGGAAACUGGGUCUAAUACCGGAUAGGACUACGCGAUGCAUGUCGUGUGGUGGAAAGCUUUUGCGGUGUGGGAUGGGCCCGCGGCCUAUCAGCUUGUUGGUGGGGUGAUGGCCUACCAAGGCGACGACGGGUAGCCGGCCUGAGAGGGUGGCCGGCCACACUGGGACUGCGAUACGGCCCAGACUCCUACGGGAGGCAGCAGUGGGGAAUAUUGCACAAUGGGCGCAAGCCUGAUGCAGCGACGCCGCGUGGGGGAUGACGGCCUUCGGGUUGUAAACCCCUUUCAGCACAGACGAAGCGUAAGUGACGGUAUGUGCAGAAGAAGCACCGGCCAACUACGUG
rnacentral:rRNA from 1 species